rnacentral:lncRNA from 1 species
AUAAUGAUAUUCCAAUUUUCUCUUGUCACAAGACACCUUUUUUUUUUUUUUUAUAUAAACAAUGCACAUUCCCAUGUCUUUCAGGUCUCUUGUCCCUGCCCUGUGCGUUUGAAAUCAGCUUGAAAUGAUUAUCGGAGAACUGCCAGAUGGACAGAUGGACUGACACAUGGUACAAUAAUAUAAGACACAUUUUCUGAGACCAAAACAGUUCCUAAAACCAUUACCACCCACUUCUGUUUGCUCUGGAUGGGAGGGAAAGUGAAUCCCACUGAAGAGAAGAUUAUGCUGAAGAUGAUGUCUUCGCUGAAGAGUAAUUACUUUAAAUUGUGCCAAGUGGCAAGCAAAGAGCUUGCUAAAGUUUUCUGUCAGCUGAGAAUUUUGCACUGCAGCUCUAUUGUAGCAGCAUUUACAGCCAUUGUGAGGUUCUCAAGAAGGAGGAUGCCUUCCCCUCUGACUCCAUCAUCUUCACAUGCAGCCCUUUCUGCAGAUUCCUUACGUUGA